rnacentral:rRNA from 1 species
CCUACGGGUGGCAGCAGUGGGGAAUAUUGGGCAAUGGGCGAAAGCCUGAUCCAGCCAUGCCGCGUGUGUGAAGAAGGCCUUCGGGUUGUAAAGCACUUUCAGUGGGGAAGAAAGCCUUGGGGCUAAUACCCUCGAGGAAGGACAUCACCCACAGAAGAAGCACCGGCUAACUCCGUGCCAGCAGCCGCGGUAAUACGGAGGGUGCGAGCGUUAAUCGGAAUUACUGGGCGUAAAGCGCGCGUAGGCGGUCUGAUAAGCCGGUUGUGAAAGCCCCGGGCUCAACCUGGGAACGGCAUCCGGAACUGUCAGGCUAGAGUGCAGGAGAGGAAGGUAGAAUUCCCGGUGUAGCGGUGAAAUGCGUAGAGAUCGGGAGGAAUACCAGUGGCGAAGGCGGCCUUCUGGACUGACACUGACGCUGAGGUGCGAAAGCGUGGGUAGCAAACAGGAUUAGAUACCCCAGUAGUC